rnacentral:lncRNA from 1 species
GAUUAAUAGAAGAAAGUGAACAAUUUAUGCUUAAAUUUAUGUACAUUGUAAAGAAGGCUUUAAUGUUUUCUAAUUAUUAAUGUUUUUCAUCAAUCACUAGAACUAGCUAAAGGGGUUUUUGUUACACCUGGGAUCUAGCUGAGUUCAAAGAAUGUAUUCUGUGUAAGUAUUAUGUGACACCAAAAGUAUUAAUAUUUUCCUUAUUUGGAUAUAUGAUUCAUGAAUAAAAUUUAAGAAAAAUUAGGGUAACACUAUUAUGAAGUAUUUUUUAUUAGAUAUUUUCUUUAUAUACAUUUCAAAUGCUAUCCCGAAAGUUUCCUAUACCCCCCUCCGCCCUGCUCCCCUACCCACUCACUCCCGCUUCUUGGCCCUGGCAUUCCCCUGUACUAGGGCAAUAAAGUUUGCAAUACCAAGGGGCCUCUCUUCCCAGUGAUGGCAGACUAGGCCAUCUUCUGCUACAUAUGCAGCUAGAGACACGAGCUCUGGGGGUACUGGUUAGUUCAUAUUGUUGUUCCAUCUAUAGGGUUGCAGACACCUUUAGUUCCUUGAAGUAUUUUUUAAAUUUUAACCAAUCUCAGCCUUCAGGAAAAUAGUCUUACUAAAUAAAUUUGAUCUGGCUUAAACUUAUUCAUUCAGAAAAAAAUGCAUACAAAUAUACUUCAUGCAAAUCAUUUAAAAAUCAUAAAAUAUUUUUUCUUUAGUAAUCUUUCUUUUGCAAAUUUUGAAAAUUAUUUUUUAGCUUUUCAUAAGAACUCCCUAGUUAUUUUUCCCGAUUCUCCUCUGUAUAUACCAGAGAGUAGCACUUUUUUUGGUUCUUUUUUUUGAUUUAAGUAAAAAAUUUACUUAUUUACAUUUUAUAUUUCACUCUUAAACUAUGAUGGCAAAUGAGGCAAUGAGAGCAAAGUCUUAUAGGAAAAAUAUGAAACAAGAUAAACAUCAGUUUGAAUAGUAGUAAUUCAAAUUAAAAAGCUUCAGAGAUUGGGGAAUUAAUUGCAUCACUUCACAAUUAAAUUUUCUGUUGAGGUAAAAUGAAAAUAAAACAUUGCUGCAUCCCAGUGAAUAAAUUAGGAGACAUCAAUACACCAGUCAGUCAAAAUGUCAUGCCAGUUAACCUGGGAGGAAUCUGAUAUUAUUGAACUCCUCUACUAAAGCAGCAUAUGAACUGUACAGAAUUAGCAAAUAUUCACACCGUGAGGAAACAUCUCAUAUGUGAUCACAGAAAAGCACUUUAAAAGUUAAAUAUUGUCUGAUUUUUAAAAAGUUCUCUCAGAAAAAUAUGCCUCUAAGUUGUAUGUGUGUCUCUCUUUUUAUUCCAUCGUUUUAUUUCUCCACAAAUCAAGUUACAGGGGAAAGCGUUAUUUAACACCCACUGGAUGAUGGCAACACUUGCAGAACUGUAAACUUCUGGGAGAUCCUUACCAGAUCCUCUCAGAGCCUCGACAAGAAAUGAACCUGAAAAAUGUAGUUUCGACAAAUCAGUAUAAGCAUAGAAAACAUUAUGAAUUCAAAGAAAGACCCAUCUAGUACAUUUUACGUAGCCAAUGAAGUUUAAAUGUUGUUUCACAACUGUCAGCAGUAAAAUUCUGAAGGAUAAUAACACUUCAAACCAAGAAUUUGUAAUGUCUACACAUUACAGUAGAUAGUUCUAUUUAUGAGCACUGGGAGAAAAUUUAGCUUAUACAAAAACAACCAAAAGACAGGACAAAAAUUGCACUGCACAUGUGUAUUAAAUAAUUUUCAUG